rnacentral:rRNA from 1 species
AUUGAACGCUGGCGGCAGGCUUAACACAUGCAAGUCGAGCGGAGACUUCGGUCUUAGCGGCGAACGGGUGAGUAAUACCUAGGAAUCUGCCUAUUAGUGGGGGAUAACGAAUCGAAAGGUUCGCUAAUACCGCAUACGUCCUACGGGAGAAAGGGGGGAGUCUUCGGACCUCUCGCUAAUAGAUGAGCCUAGGCCGGAUUAGCUAGUUGGUAGGGUAAAGGACCUACCAAGGCGACGAUCUGUAGCUGGUCUGAGAGGAUGGCCAGCCACACUGGAACUGAGACACGGUCCAGACUCCUACGGGAGGCAGCAGUGGGGAAGUAUUGGACAAUGGGGGCGAACCCUGAUCCAGCCAUGCCGCGUGUGUGAAGAAGGCC